CAGCCGCCGCGGUAAUACCGGCGGCUCGAGUGGUGGCCACUUUUAUUGGGCUUAAAGCGUUCGUAGCUGGAUUUUUAAGUCUCUUGGGAAAUCUGCAGGCUCAACCUGCAGGCGUUCAAGAGAUACUGGAAAUCUAGGAACCGGGAGAGGUAAGAGGUACUCCAGGGGUAGAAGUGAAAUUCUGUAAUCCUUGGGGGACCACCGAUGGCGAAGGCAUCUUACCAGAACGGCUUCGACAGUGAGGAACGAAAGCUGGGGGAGCGAACCGGAUUAGAUACCCGGGUAGUCCCAGCCGUAAACGAUGCGCGUUAGGUGUACCGGUGACCACGAGUCACUGGGGUGCCGAAGGGAAACCGUGAAACGUGCCGCCUGGGAAGUACGGUCGCAAGGCUGAAACUUAAAGGAAUUGGCGGGGGAGCACCACAACAGGUGGAGCCUGCGGUUUAAUUGGACUCAACGCCGGAAAUCUCACCGGAUAAGACAGCGGAAUGAUAGCCUGGCUGAAGACCUUGCUUGACCAGCUGAGAGGUGGUGCAUGGCC
rnacentral:rRNA from 1 species